rnacentral:rRNA from 1 species
AUGAAUGGAUACUCUGAGAUAGAACGAGAAAAAGCAAAUUUGAUUAAUGCUACUUCUAUUAGUUUGGAACAAUUGGAAAAGUCUAAAAAUGAAACCCUUUAUUUUGAAAAACAAAGGGCAAUGAAUCAGGUCCGACAGCGGGUUCUCCAACAGGCCGUACAAGGAGCGAAGCAUCUUAAUCUUAAGUUUCCUGUUUAUCAAAGAAAAAUUCCAUUAUCAGCUCACUCUUCAUCAAUCCCUCUGGAUCGAUCUAGCAAUCAUGGAAUCUAUAUUCUGUUUACUCGAUCAGAUGUGCUUUGCUCAGGACUCCCAUUUUACCAUUGCUUAAGCCAUAUUACAUAA